rnacentral:rRNA from 1 species
UCGAGUGGCGAACGGGUGAGUAACACGUGGGUGAUCUGCCCUGCACUUUGGGAUAAGCCUGGGAAACUGGGUCUAAUACCGAAUAUGACCACGCGCUUCAUGGUGUGUGGUGGAAAGCUUUUGCGGUGUGGGAUGGGCCCGCGGCCUAUCAGCUUGUUGGUGGGGUAAUGGCCUACCAAGGCGACGACGGGUAGCCGGCCUGAGAGGGUGACCGGCCACACUGGGACUGAGAUACGGCCCAGACUCCUACGGGAGGCAGCAGUGGGGAAUAUUGCACAAUGGGCGCAAGCCUGAUGCAGCGACGCCGCGUGAGGGAUGACGGCCUUCGGGUUGUAAACCUCUUUCAAUAGGGACGAAGCGCAAGUGACGGUACCUAUAGAAGAAGGACCGGCCAACUACG